GUUUUGUUAUUCAAUUUACUAUUUGAAAAUUUACAUUACUGCUCCAUGUUUCUGUUACCCAUCCAGACUUAUGUCCAACAUAAACAUAAACAGCAUCAGUCAAUACACAUAAUUUAUCAGCUAUAUAUACUACUUCUGGAACCAUUAAGGAUACUAUAUGAACAAACACCCCAGGCCAGCUGGUUAGGUUGUAGCAAUGAGCAUAUUAUUGUUGAAAAAGAAAUUGAGAUGGAUGGUUUCUUAACCUAAAAGUUAUGCACAAACGCGGAAGGUGUCAAGAUAAAAUUAUCCAGCCAAGGGCUACGCAAUUGCAUCCACACAGGGUCCUGACUAAAGUCCAUGCUGAAUUUGGGUACUUGCAGUUCAGCCAGGCUAUCUUGUCCAUUUAAUAAUUUUGGCCUAAAGCAAUUACUCUUCUCUUUGGUUUCAGCUGAAACUUUGUUCUCAGCUACUGAUAACCUAUCAUCAUCUACUUCAUCCUUGCUGAUUGACGUAAACAAAUCGGGGCUCUUAUCAGUCAGUUCAUGAUGUUCAUUACCAAAUGACAUGGCGUCCAUUGUCUGCAGGGUUGUUGAACAAGGAGAGCUGUGUACGUGCUUCAUUUCUUCUUCAAUUGCAGCCCUCUGUUCUAACACCUUCAAAGAUGUCGCUUUUCUGUAUAUUUUGCACAACACAAUGUCCUGAGGCCAUGAGACGGUAUCUGGUAAUCGAAAUUCAUUCAUGACCCAAUCUGUCUUAGAGCCACGAGGUGCUCUUCCAGUAUAAAAAACCAAAGUCUUCUUAAGACCAAUUAUAUUUUUAGGAUUUGAUAAACCAAUGAUCUUUUUAUCAGAACCAGUUGCCUUCCAAAAUCCCUUUUCUGUAGUCCUAUUAGGCCUACCUCCAUUUCCAUGUUUUCUAUCUCUUGCCACAAAAAAAUACCAUUCUCUUUCUCCAAUCGUCGAAAGCCCUGGCAGGUCCCAAGGAUCAUGACGAUAAAUGUUCAGUAGACCAAUUACAUCACAUCGCGAUGUUCUGCCAAGGAUUUUAUUUUUGAGGUAAAAUUCAAGAAGUUCUUCUUCCGUUGGGUGAAAUCGGAACCCUGGUAGAUCUUCCAUGAUUACUUGUAUCGAUCAACUUUCGUUGUUAAAUAUUUU
rnacentral:misc_RNA from 1 species